rnacentral:tRNA from 1 species
GUCAACGUGCCAGAGUGGUUAAUGGGCUGCCCUGCUACGGAUACCGGGACCACGUCCCGUUCCAGCAGUUGAGGCAGUGGCUUCGGUCGCGCAAGUUCGAAUCUUGUCGUUGACG